rnacentral:rRNA from 1 species
GAUGAACGCUGGCGGCGUGCCUAAUACAUGCAAGUCGAGCGAACAGAUAAGGAGCUUGCUCCUUUGAAGUUAGCGGCGGACGAGUGAGUAACACGUGGGUAACCUACCUAUAAGACUGGGAUAACUUCGGGAAACCGGAGCUAAUACCGGAUAACAUUUAGAACCGCAUGGCUCUAAAGUGAAAGAUGGUUUUGCUAUCACUUAUAGAUGGACCCGCGCCGUAUUAGCUAGUUGGUAAGGUAACGGCUUACCAAGGCGACGAUACGUAGCCGACCUGAGAGGGUGAUCGGCCACACUGGAACUGAGACACGGUCCAGACUCCUACGGGAGGCAGCAGUAGGGAAUCUUCCGCAAUGGGCGAAAGCCUGACGGAGCAACGCCGCGUGAGUGAUGAAGGGUUUCGGCUCGUAAAACUCUGUUAUUAGGGAAGAACAAAUGUGUAAGUAACUGUGCACAUCUUGACGGUACCUAAUCAGAAAGCCACGGCUAACUACGUG